CCUACGGGGGGCAGCAGUGGGGGAUAUUGCACAAUGGGCGCAAGCCUGAUGCAGCGACGCCGCGUGAGCGAAGAAGUAUUUCGGUAUGUAAAGCUCUAUCAGCAGGGAAGAAAAUGACGGUACCUGACUAAGAAGCUCCGGCUAAAUACGCGCCAGCAGCCGCGGUAAUACGUAUGGAGCAAGCGUUAUCCGGAAUUACUGGGUGUAAAGGGGGCGCAGACGGCAGCGCAAGCCAGGAGUGAAAACCCGGGGCCCAACCCCGGGACUGCUCUUGGGACUGCGCGG
rnacentral:rRNA from 1 species